GGGAGGAGCCAUCGAAGGCAGGACGACAGGUGCCUACAGCUGCGGAACACGCUGCAAGGAGAGAGCGGCCAGUCAUUUUCCGAAGCGGGGGCCAGGUGCAUUUCCGAUAAGGACAGAGGAAUUUAUUUUUUAGCUUUAUGGAGGCAUCAUCGAGAUACAAAAAUGGCGCACAUUUAAUGUACACAUCUUGAGGAGUUUGGACGUGUGCAAGCAAUUAAGCCUCUCCUUCCCCCAUCAUCGGAUCAGGCCGACCUGGUCCCCCAGCGCCCAUGCCUUCUGCCCCACUGCCUCCACCACUCCAUCUUCAAACCUUUCCGUCCCCUUACCUGCCCCUCACCUUUUCCCUGCCACCAAUGCUGGGGUUUCUCCUGUUAUCCCCAUCCCUUCAAGCCCCCCAUCACUCUCCCAGGAGCCCCUCACUCCCUCCACCCCUCUGCCCUCCUGGCCUAGGCUCUCACCCCGGUGCAGCUGGCAUCCACCCCUCUGCCCUCCUGGCCU
rnacentral:lncRNA from 10 species